UGGUAGUGUAUUGGACUACCAUGGCAGUCACGGGUAACGGAGAAUUAGGGUUCGAUUCCGGAGAGGGAGCCUGAGAAACGGCUACCACAUCUAAGGAAGGCAGCAGGCGCGUAAAUUACCCAAUCCCGAUUCGGGGAGGUAGUGACAAGAAAUAGCAACUCGUGCGGGUUUCCGUUACGGGAUUGCAAUGAGAUAAGUCCAAAUCCGUAAACGAUUAACAAUUGGAGGGCAAGUCUGGUGCCAGCAGCCGCGGUAAUUCCAGCUCCAAUAGCGUAUACUUAAGUUGUUGCAGUUAAAAAGCUCGUAGUUGAAAUUCGAGUCAGUUACUAGUUGGCUUUUCGUCAGUUAGUUGAUUGAUUCUCCGUCUACAAUCCCUUUUGCGCUUUAGGGUUGCAGCUGGGCGAGUAGACAAUUUACCUUGAAAAAAUUAGAGUGUUCCAGGCAGGUCUUCGCCGGAAUACAUUAGCAUGGAAUAAUGGAAUAGGACUUGGGUCUUUUGUUGGUUUUAGGACUUGAGUAAUGAUUAAUAGGGACAGAUGGGGGCAUUAGUAUUUAAUUGUCAGAGGUGAGAUUCUUGGAUUUAUUAAAGACUAACUUAUGCGAAAGCAUUUGCCAAGGAUGUUUUCAUUAAUCAAGAACGAAUGUUAAGGGAUCAAAGACGAUCAGA
rnacentral:rRNA from 1 species